GCAAAUAAGGUGGCUCAUGAAAUUGCUAGGCUAGCAAAAUUUUCAGUUACUACUGACUGGUUUGAGGAGCCUUUGAGGGACAUUGUACAUUUACUUAGUGGUUGAAGUGUUGCUAUGAUAAACAUGGAUUCAAGAGUAGAUAAAAAUCUUCUUCCAUCAGAUGCAUGUGGGCUCCUUAUUAAAGGACAAUGAAGGUUGUCGGCCACCAUUGUUCUGUGAGGUCAUAUUGAUUUGGGAACGAUAGAAAGAAUGCCUAACUACAUACCUGCAAUCAAAAAAAAAAUAAACCAUGUUAUUGCUAGAACAUUCCGUUCACAGUAUAGCGAUAAUGAAGUAAUCCUAGGCCUCUAUUUCAGUGUUAUGUAAUCUACUAUUCAGUUAGCUCUAACUGAUUCAUGUUCUGUUUCCUCCUUAUGGUAUGUUCCGAUGGGAUUAAAACUUGCCAUGUGGAGUUUAUUUUCUGUUCGACCUUGCAGCUAUCAACCCUUUUCUGUUCAUUCAAAAUUGUCGCUUAAUGUUCUGUUUAUAGAACUGGAAUAAUCACGCAAGUCCUCACUUCCUUUUUCAUUUGGAUGCUUAUCAUAAAGUAUUAGAGGCUGAAUCGCCAUACGAAUUCCGAACAUGUACUUAUAGUCUCAAAUGAAUAAAAUGCAUGCACUCUUAACUUAUCCGAAGUGGGCUAUAUAUGAUUCAUUUUUAUGUCAUUCAUAUUUAAGCCACCCACUUAUCAUGUCUUCUCUCAACUGUGGGCCUGUGACCAUAUACUAAUGAAAAUAUUGCCAAAAGGAUGAUACAUGGACAAUGUGUUUGCAAACUAAAUACAUGCAUUAGAAGUUAAAAUCAAACCUGAAAGUGACUAAAGUUAGCACUGAUAAAGCUUAGGCAGAUUCAAGAGUAAGAAAAUCUUGGUCAGUCAUUUGAAUGUGAGAUGCUGAUUCAGGAGCAAAGAAAGUUAUCCCUCUUCAGUGUUGUGUGUGGCCAUACUGAUUUGGGUAAAAUACAAAAAUAGAAUGUCUAGACUCUACUGUAUAGCUGCAAGCAUAAACAAACCGGCCAUUUUAUUGCAUCCAGAUUGUAGUAUAGAAAUCUACAAUAGAACAUGUCAUCAUACAGUGAUAGUUUUAAUAUCAGCAGAAGAAUUAAAAUGCAGCAAGAAGAAUCAAUGCCUACAUCUAGGGGGACCAGAUGGUUGAAGAGAAUCAAAAGGGCAUGUAGAUGGGACAAUCCCAAUGAACAACAGUAAGGGAAAAGGGGAAGAAAUUAGAAUAUAGCAUGGUUUGAAAGCUCAAUCACAGGUGGACGCAUAUCGGUGCCUACCUCCGCGGGGUAGAUUUAAUAAGAAUUGUCAUAUUGCCGGUGGCAUGCAGUCUGCUUCUAAAUUAAGAGAUGAAGGUACACGGGGUCAUCCAUAACAGCAAAAGUAAAGGAAGGAAAUGGAUCUGCAUGACGAAUAGGUCGAUUAUAAGAACAGAAGAGAAACUGGAACAUUAUGUAUAAGGAACUAAUCUAAGCAAUCUUUGAUUACACACAAAAGAAAUUUCAGUGGUGACGCUUCAUUAUGAGGAAAUAAUCAACAGGGAGAAAAAAAUCCACAACCUAGAUAGAGCAUGUGUAACAGAUGACGACGUCUCUCUCCGCAGGGUGGCCGGAGGCGUAUCGUCGCUUGGGGGCACGGCGAGGCGGCUGCAGUGGCGUCAACAGGAGCAGCACGGCUUCCAAAGUGGGCUGCUGGCGGUUGUACGGACGGCUGGGGGAGGCAGGAGACCUUGUGUGGAUUGACGAAGCGGUU
rnacentral:lncRNA from 1 species